UGUAUUGUUUUAUUACAUGCUCUUAAAAAUGAAUGCUAAAAGUAACCAUUUGAAGCGAAAAAAAAAAAAAAAGGUUAUGAACGCAAUUGGGGCAAUGAAAAUGAACAAAUAAUGGGUAAAUAUGGCUUUUCAGUUAAUGGAAAGGAUACAAUAAAACUGACAUUUUGUGUGUUCUUAUUAUGCAUCAUUCUGAGUUGUGGUUUAUUACCUCCCUCCUGGUUAGGUUGUGGUUUAUUACCUCCCUCCUGGUUAGGUUGUGGUUUAUUACCUCCCUCCUGGUUAGGUUGUGGUUUUUUACCUCCCUCCUGGUUAGGUUGUGGUUUAUUACCUCCCUCCUGGUUAGGUUGUGGUUUAUUACCUCCCUCCUGGUUAGGUUGUGGUUUAUUACCCCCCUCCUGGUUAGGUUGUGGUUUAUUACCUCCCUCCUGGUUAGGUUGUGGUUUAUUACCUCCCUCCUGGUUAGGUUGUGGUUUAUUACCUCCCUCCUGGUUAGGUUGUGGUUUUUACCCCCCUCCUGGUUAGGUUGUGGUUUAUUACCUCCCUCCUGGUUAGGUUGUGGUUUA